UACGUAGGGUGCAAGCGUUAAUCGGAAUUACUGGGCGUAAAGCGUGCGCAGGCGGUCCGUUAAGACAGAUGUGAAAUCCCCGGGCUUAACCUGGGAACUGCAUUUGUGACUGACGGACUCGAGUAUGGCAGAGGGGGGUAGAAUUCCACGUGUAGCAGUGAAAUGCGUAGAGAUGUGGAGGAAUACCGAUGGCGAAGGCAGCCCCCUGGGCCAAUACUGACGCUCAUGCACGAAAGCGUGGGGAGCAAACAGG
rnacentral:rRNA from 1 species